rnacentral:rRNA from 1 species
AGCAGCCGCGGUAAUUCCAGCUCCAAUAGCGUAUAUUAAAGUUGCUGCAGUUAAAAAGCUCGUAGUUGAAUUUCGGGAUCAAUAUGUUGGUCGUGCCUUGGUACGUACUAGCUUAUUGAUUUCUCCUUUCUGACGAACCAUGAUGUCAUUAAUUUGGUGUCAUGGGGAAUCAGGACUGUUACUUUGAAAAAAUUAGAGUGUUUAAAGCAGGCUCGCGCUUGAAUACAUUAGCAUGGAAUAAUGAAAUAGGACAUUUGAUUCUAUUUGUUGGUUUCUAGGAUCGAUGUAAUGAUUAAUAGGGAUAGUUGGGGGCAUUAGUAUUCAAUUGUCAGAGGUGAAAUUCUUGGAUUAUUGGAAAGAUCUAACUACUGCGAAAGCAUUUGCCAAGGAUGUUUCAUUAAUCAAGAACGAAAGAUUGGGGAUCGAAACGAUCAGAUA